rnacentral:rRNA from 1 species
UAAUACGUAGGGACCGAGCGUUGUCCGGAAUCAUUGGGCGUAAAGAGCGUGUAGGCGGCUUGCUAAGUCUUGCGUGAAAUCUCGGGGCUCAACCCCGAGCGGUCGUGGGAAACUGGCAGGCUAGAGUGCGGGAGAGGAGAAUGGAAUUCCUGGUGUAGCGGUGAAAUGCGCAGAUAUCAGGAAGAACACCCGUGGCGAAGGCGGUUCUCUGGAACGCAACUGACGCUGAGACGCGAAAGCGUGGGGAGCAAACAGGA